ACAUUCCUUCUUAAACCAUUUAAACUAAAGAAUUUAUUUGUUUUCCGUGGCACUUGCCGGCUCCAGCAAUCGAUGCGGAGGUCAUAAUCACUUUGUGGAAGUACCGUAACUCCAUGAAGACCGUGGUUCCCCGAGGUAGAGCGGCCGUAGGUGCGGCGCACCGGGGACUCGAGUUAUGCGACACAGGGUGAAGGCCAUCGGAACCUUGAUCCAGGGUGGCGCGGUGAUAUACCACUGGUGCCCCGAGCCAAGAUGAAGCGGUGUGCAUGCGGACGGUCCCCGAGCUAGGCACUCGGCAAGCGGUGCCUCAAUCCUUGGUUCUAGGAGGCUUAACAAAUAUGUUGGAUAUCAACCAAGGACCAUGGGACAGACUUGCGAUUAGCUCCGUAGCGAAGCACGGGUUUUGUCCUAGUA